UCUGCACCUUCCUUUAAUUCCUCUUCCUUUCUAUUCCCCUCCGCUGGCCAUCUCCCCAACGAACGCCUCGUCUCCUUCCCUUCCUCUGUACGCUAGCACCUACAGGAAGAUAAACAUACACAACGAGAAACUGCCAAGCAAUCACACAAGAAGCUGCCUCCUGUCCUCCUCCAUAAUUCCCAUAAGUGUCCACCGGUUCCAAAACUGAAGGUACAGGGACCUGCGCCUCAAUCUCCUCCCUCGUUUCCCUUAGCCCUCUUCCAUCUCUCUUCUCCGUCCUCCCAGAGAACUCCUCCCAAAGAAACAGUGUUCCAUUUACAUCGGAACUUGAUUCUGAUGAAGGAGACCAUCCCAGUCCAUGCCCUUGCGCCAAAAGGUUCUCUUUCAUGCGUUGAAUCCAUUCAGGGAGGAAAGAAAGCGAUCCGUGGACCACACGCGCAGAAUUUCGCAUGUCAGUCUACACUGUUCGUCGAGUUCUUCGCGUCGUUCUGUCAAACAUGGUGAGCCUCUAUCAAAUUCCUUUUGCACGCGUACUCACCAUCAUCUACUCUAUCUCGUAGACAUCAUCAUUCAGCUCAUCUAUGUCGUUGCUCACGCUGAUGCAUGAACGGAUUCUAUCGACAUGUCCGCGUACUUUUUAGUUUCUCGGAUGAUCUUGUGUUCAACAUAUGAUUUGUUUCUCAUACCCAUAGUAACCCCAUGAUGGAGUUAGAUCGCUAGUUUUAUCAAUAGGAUUUUAGUAUACAUUUUGUUAUAGCCGUUCUUGCCUAAGAUUUAAUGGAGUUUGUUCAUCGGUUAAAUUUUAUAUUAAUUUGUUAUUGUUCUUAUGUUUGCGAUAUGCCUAGAAGUGCAUCCUAGUGGUCUCAUAAUUUUUGCCUGUGAUAAAUGGCUUAUUAGAGUUAUUGUUUAUUGUUUACCGAUUAUAGUUUUUGUUGUCGCAAGUUGAUAAUUUUUUGUAUUGUUAUUGACUUGUGUUAGACAUGUCUAUAGAUAUUGAGUAUAGUCUGGUAUGUUGUUAUGUAGAUAAUUUCUUGUAUCAUGUAGUAGUGGGAGAUGCUUUUGUAAUAGCUAUUGUGACUUAUCAUCAUGAGUAGUAGUUGAUCGGUGAACUUUUGUGUUAAUUUUAUAUGUUCGGGAUAUAGUUAGGAGUGUAUGCUAGUUGUCUCAUAAUUUUCUGUGUGGCAUGUGACAUGUUAAAUUUAUUGUUUACCGAUUAUAUUUUGUUUAAAAUAAGUUUUGCAUGCUAUUUCCACUUGACAAUUUGGUGUAUUGUGUAUAGUCCUCUUUUAUGCAUGCAUACAAUAUUUGCUGGACGCUCAACAUGCUUAUAUUUAUGUGGAACUAUUCUAAGUUUUGCUUUAUGUAUCUAAUCAUGAAAUACUUCAUGUUUCAUUUAGUUUAGUUCAUUCACUAGCAUGAAGAUAUCUUAGGUAUAUUUUAUAUAUUGACUUCACCUUUGUUGCAUGUGUAUUUGUCAGGGUUUUUUUAUCAUAUCAGGUGAUACUUUAGGUGAUAUUUAUUUAAAUUAUUUGUGUUACCUAGUUUUGUUACUAGUGGUUAUGAAAAUUUGGUAUGUUAUCGACCAUAGUCAUAGUACUUGUUGUAGGUCUAUUGUUUGCGUUUAUAUUAUGUGUUAUCAUGCAUGGAGAUCAUUACUUUUAUAGAGUGUGAGGAUUGCGCUUUACAGUGUAGUGCUUCUCAUUUCUUAGAUGUUUGUUAUCCGAAAUUGCAUGGUUGGAUACUUCAUGUCAUGGUUAUAUUUGUAUUGCUUUACAUAAUUUAUUUUUGUGGCAUAGAGCAUAGCUUAUAACAUCUUAGUAAUUUUCAUGUGUGUUUAUUUAUCCUAGUUUAUUACCAUGCCAUGUUGGUAAUUGCUUAAAGUAGAAUACAUGGUUUUAUUGUAUGUCCCAAGUGUUGCAACAUUGCUAGUUCGUACUUUUUGUUCGCACGUAUGGUUAGCCUUUUCCUGUUAGACAUACAUGUUACCAGUGUAUGAUCUCCUAUGACUUAAGUUUGAUGCUUGAUCAAUACCCCGCAUGAUGAUGCGACUGCAUAACUAGAUUGUAUAGCAUGUGUGUACGAGUUCAUGUAUUAGAUCAUGCCUAGUGGUGUAUCUUAUGUCGUUGCAACUCUAGAUUGUAACAAAUAGAGGUGCAUGCCAUUUUCACUCAUGCUAGUAUAGUACAUUACUUGAUGUCAUGAUCUAGUUGUCUAACUUGCAAAUGAUUAGUAUGACAUGUCCAUGUGCUUAUAGGACAUAACUAUGUCCAUGUUUUUAUAUGAGAUAACUAGUAUGUAAGGUUCUGUGCUCUUGCCAUUCUUGAUACUCAUGUUAGCCGAUAUCAACUAAGUUAUCUUAUUUUGUGAGUUGUAUUCUAUUAGUACCAUACUUUGGCAUCUCGUGUGAUGAUCAUUCAUACUUAGUGUUAUACAUUGUAUCUAAUUAUUGCGUUGUUGGGUAUCUAGAUGUUGUUCAUGCAAGUGAUCUUUCAUGUUUUAUGAUGUUUCAUGUGUUAUAGUUGCACUUGUGUUGCUCAUAUGUGGUUGACUUGUCUCAUGUUAGUGUUAUGAGUGUUUGGCACAUGUUGCAUUAGCUCCUCACAUGAUUAGGAUAGUUUAACUUUCAAUAGUUGAGUUGUGUCUUUCUCAUAUGCUUAGUGCACAUUGUUGCUUUGUUGUUAAUCAUGUUGUCGUAAUCUUGUUGCCAUAGGUCAUUUGGAUAUUAGUUGUUUCCUUUAUUAUAAAGAAUGUCCUAGUUUAGUAUCUUCUCAUGGUCACUCAUAUAUUUAAUGCUUGUGUUAUUAUAUAAGACCUCUUCACGAUUCUAUACUCACAUGCCUUGUAUGAUGUGUCUGAUUAUUUAAUUUACCAAUUAGUUUUGUGAUAGCAUUGGUUUGUCUUUUGUUAUAGAAAUGCUUACUAAUAGUCAUGAUUGGGGUUUAGUAUUUGCUUGUUAUUAACCAUUAUAAAUAUUUGAAUUCAUUCAAAUAUUUAUUUUUGGUUGAUUAUUAAUCUUAAUGAUAUCAUGUCUAGGAUAGUUGUUCAUCCAUUGUUCCACGUGUUGUAUAGUUUCUUGUCAAUUGUUUGAGUGAUGAAUUGGUUUGAUUUGAUGGAGUGGAUCCUAUUUUAUUUUCAUAAUGGUUGGGCCAGACCUAGAUCAAUUCAAUUAAUGUUGUUGAAUGAUGUUUGAUUGCUUCAGUAGCAUGUUUUAUAAUGUUGGUUUGGUUGUCGUAUAGAACACUUGUUUUGAGUUAUUACAGAGUUAAUGUAUAUGUUUGGAUUCUAUUGACCAUUAUGAAUAUUUAGAUUUUGCUAAAUAUUUAAUUGUGGUUAUCUUUUACAUUUAUCAUGCCAUGUUUUGUUUGUGUAAAUAAAAUACAUAGGAUGAUUCCAUUAAUUCCAUGCUUGUUGGUGCCAUUGUGUUUCUCAUAUGGUUGUUUCCUAUAUUGUUACUCAUGAUGUGUAGUGGGCACUACUAAUGGUCUGUUAGCAUAGUUCUUACUAGAACGUUAGUCUUGAUCACCAGGCCUUCCGUAGCUUUGUAAACCUAAACCUUGUUGUUUAAUCCUCUCUCUUACAUCCAAUCGUGCUACCUCAUUUCGGAGUCUCCAUCUUCAUCAAUAUCUUGCUAUCCACCCACUCUUAAAUUGUUUUGGAUGUUAUUUGGAUUUGUUAUUGCUUUGGUAUUUAUUUGUUUGUCUUUUGCUAUCAUUACGACGAGUAGGGAUUGACGACGGUGUUGGACAUGGACAGAAACAGGUUACCGAAGAAGGACUCAACAACGAAGGCAUGCCUCCUCCUUAAUCAUACUUAUCCUAUGGUUUACAAAAUUGCAUUAAGUUUUAUUGUUACUAUAUGCAUGCUAUUUUAAUUCUCGUAGCUAGCGUGUCCAUUGACACAUUACCUUGAUCCGCUUGUCUCCUAUUUACUUGACACCUGUGUAGAAGUAUAUAGUUCCAGUAGAGUAGAAAUGCUUAGCCAUGCUUAUCAUCCUAUAGGUGCUUUGUUGAAUGACCUCUAGGUCAUUGACAGUUGAAACUUAACGCUGAGCUAAGCCAGUUGGCCCUUGUUGAACUCCUCUACUCUCUUCUACUCUGGGUGAAACUUACCAUCUGAAUACUGGUGCGGGCGACAGCUGAAUCAAGGAUUGAAGGAGCGAUUGGCCGCCCUUCACUUGUUGAAGGGGGCAAUCAGUCGUCCGUGCCGCAUGAGGCCUAAUAAGUCUUGGAUUUGAAGAUUGUGAUAAUAGUACAACCACAUGCUAUACGGGCACUGGCUUGGUUAAUUAGUUAGUUCACUCUUAUUGUCGUCAUCGCCGUACCGCAGAUGGGAUAGCUGCCUUGCGAGGAGUAUCCUUGGCACAAAAGGAGGCCCGGACUGUGAACUACAGUUACUUCCGUGUUGAAACCUAGUGGGCUUGGCACAGUAAGUUUGGUCUAAUGAAAGACCUCGUCACAAUCUCCCUGCCUGUAUACCAAAUGGUGUACUAUGCCAGCGGCCACUGGUGGCAACAAGUCGAGAUUGUGUCGUGUGGGUAAAGUGUACAACCUCUGCAGAGUGUAAAACUAUUCAAAUAGCCGUGUCCACGAUCAUGGGCAACACAUGAAUCUUUCUUGACGUACGGGACCUGUCUUGCUUAUUCCCUCUUUGCCCCUAUUCUUGAAACCUAUGAAGGACGUGAGUUGAUCGAGGAUCCUCACUUGAAGAAAGAUAUUAUUCUGGAGAUAAAACAUGUUUUCAUCUAAAAUCGCUAUUAUUCAACUACCUUAUUUGUCAAACAAAAUUAGCUUUAUGCAAAUGAGCCAUAGAGCCUUCCUUUGAAGCCACAUGUAGCUAUUAGGUCCUUCCCCGUGGGAGGCAUUUUGAGUACGUAAUGUACUCAUGGCAAUACUUUUGUUGAACAACAGAGAUCUAUGAAGACAAGGGCGUCGACUACGAUUAUUAUGAUGAUCCUGAGGAGUGAGGACACAUUGACUACAUCGACUGCCUGUGGCUGAGAUGGAGUUGCUACGCGUUAUAUAUUCCACUAUGUUUCUGAUUGUAAUAAAUGUCUUGAGACAUUCCAGUAUGUAUGCCUUGUGGGAAGAGUUGUUAAACUUAUACUUAUUUUAAUGUUCCGCAAUGAUACCAUUUCACUGCGUUGCCAAGUUGAUCCUAGGUUUGACAAAUAUACACAGGAGGGUCUGGAAGUUAAUUCCAGGUUCUCAUAGAAGUGGUAUCAAAGCCGACGUCGACUUAGUAACGUGGCCUUAGUUAGAAUGGAAAGCCUUAGGACUAUUUUCAAAAGAAAACUAUUUUGGAAAGGAUCAUUCUCGUAGUCUUCUCCUUCACUAUUGUUGUCCUUGUCUCAUCUUAUUCAAAUAAGGUUUAAACUCUACCUCCUUACCUUCUUCUUGAUAGUAGUGAAACCCUUUUCCCCGAACAUGGUAUUGAAAAGUCAGAAGCUUCACAAGAUGUUUCCAGAAUUUCAACAUAACUUCAGCUCUUGAAGCUCCGAGUAGCAACAUCUUGCUGAGAGAAGACACCUCGAGAUGUCAAGUGGUCAACAACAGCCGACCAUGCUUCAAAUGUCAACAUUGAAGAUCCGCACCAAGUUAUGAUGUGACUUGCCAUAUAGGAAUAUGUUGGUUAGUGCCCUUGUAGUGGUAGACCUCGUAGCUAGUAGACGCAAAAAUAUUUUUGUGUGAGUAUUGUCUGCAUAUAUUUCUUCUGGCCUUUUCCUAUGCAGUCAUACUAAAACCCUAUUUGCGAAAAUGAGUUGCUUUUGAGUUCUAUUGGAUAUCUUCAUGGUUAUCUCGAUGUUAUCUUUUGUUUAUCUUCUGGGGUACCUCCACCUUUUGUAGGAUUCUUCUACUCCUCUUCUCCUCUUUCCCUCUUCUCUUUACACCCUGGAGGUCACCUUGAGAUGAAUGAAGUUGCAACAACCCGCGUGGAGAUCUAUUUAUCAAAGUGAACCUUAUGGAAAAUCUCUUUUAAGGGGGGUAGUAGACAAUGAUUGUGUCAAGAUUGAAGAUUUGAAGACCUUCAUUCGCAAAGAAGAAAAAUAGUUGAAGACCUUCACCGCACCUACCGUAAAGUUCAACCUGAAGGAAGGAUCAAUGAGUCCAGCCGUACCAAAGCUUGACCUAAAGAUGAAGGGAAAGAUAGAAGAAUUUUAACCACCCAAUGAAGCGAUCAGAUUACCAUCGCCAAGACCGAAGGACUGCUUCCAAGCUUUCAACAAGCUAGAGAUAGUAUCAACCAUCGAAGUAUCUCCAAUCAAGACCCAAAGUUGCUUGUCACCAAGAUCAUAAUCGACCGUGACCGACAAGUGUCUCUAAGAGGAACUAUGUCGAAGACGAAGCUAACCCAAACCCAUUCUCUUUAGUUGGCCUGAAUCUCGGGGAAGAGAUUCCUUUUAAGGGGGUAGAUCUGUAACAUCCCGAUUUUCGGAAUGUUUUAAGAAAAAGUUUACCAAAAAUCAGGGCGAGAAAAUUUCAUUUGUUUUAUUUGUUAACAAAGCUUAAAUUGGACUUUUAUAAUUUUGAGGAUUUAACUUGAUCUAAUGCAAACUUAAAUUUAACUUGAGUUUUGUUCUUCUCUUUUUGGGUUUUGUUUUUCUCCCUUCAACAUAUUAAAUUAUGCGCAUGUGCAUUUUUGAAACUUCUUCUGACUGUUGUUGAUCUUCUAUUCCUUUUGUAGAUUGUUCUAAAUUCAUCAAUAAUUUUCUGAGAGGAAAAUUAAUUUCUUUUCCAUCUAUCAAACUCCGGACAGAAUUUGCAAGUCUCAAUCCAUAUAUCUCUAUUUUGUGUGUAUCUUAUUUUCUUUUGUCCACCGCAUAGGCUAAAUCCAUCUCUUUCUUUUAUUAUAUUUUCUCUCUCUCUUUCCUAGGUGCAUCCACAUUUUUUUCUUCCAAACCGAAUUGGCUAAGCCCUUUUCUUUCUCUCCUCCCACUAAUUCACUUGGGCCUGUCCGAUCUGGCCCACUACCCAGCCGAAGGAGCACCCUCUCAAUCUUCUUCUUUGUACGUUCACCUUGCAAAGAAGAGAAUCAGCCACACAUACACGUACACGUAGGAAACGUCUGCACCUUCCUUUAAUUCCUCUUCCCUUUCUAUUCCCCUCCGCUGGCCAUCUCCCCAACGAAUGCCUUGUCUCCUUUCCUUCCUCUGUACGCUAGCACCUACAGGAAGAUAAACGUACACCAAGAGAAACAGCCAAGCAAUCACGCAAGAAGCUGCCUCCUGUCCUCCUACAUAAUUCCCAUAAGUGUCCACCGGUUCCAAAACUGAAGGUACAGGGACCUGCGCCUCAAUCUCCUCCCUCGUUUCCCUUAGCCCUCUGCCAUCUCUCUUCUCCAUCCUCCCAGAGAACUCCUCCCAAAGAAAUAGUGUUCCAUGGACGUCGGUCCUUGAUUCUGAUGAAGGAGACCAUCCCAGUCCAUGCCCUUGCGCCAAAAGGUUCUCUUUCAUGCGUUGAAUCCAUUCAGGGAAGAAAGAAAGCGAUCCGUUGACCACACGCGCAGAAUUUCGCAUGUGAGUCUACACUGUUCGUCGAGUUCUUCGCGCCGUUCUGUCAAACUCGGUGAGCCUCUAUCAAAUUCCUUUUCCACGCGUACUCACCAUCAUCUACUCUAGCUCGUAGACAUCAUCAUUCAGCUCAUCUAUGUCGUUGCUCACGCCGAUGCAUGAACGGAUUCUAUCGACAUGUCCGCGUACUUUUUAGUUUCUCGGAUGAUCUUGUGUUCAACAUAUGAUUUGUUUCUCGUACCCAUAGUAACCCCAUGAUGGAGUUAGAUCGCUAGUUUUAUCAAUAGGAUUUUAGUAUACAUUUUGUUAUAGCCGUUCUUGCCCAAGAUUUAAUGGAGUUUGUUCAUCGGUUAAAUUUUAUAUUAAUUUGUUAUUGUUCUUAUGUUUGCGAUAUGCAUAGAAGUGCAUCCUAGUGGUCUCAUAAUUUUUGCGUGUGAUAAAUGGCUUAUUAGAGUUAUUGUUUAUUGUUUAUCGAUUAUAGUUUUUGUUGUCGCAAGUUGAUAAUUUUUUGUAUUGUUAUUGACUUGUGUUAGACAUGUCUAUAGAUAUUGAGUAUAGUCUGGUAUGUUGUUAUGUAGAUAAUUUCUUGUAUCAUGUAGUAGUGUGAGAUGCUUUUGUAAUAGCUAUUGUGAAUUAUCAUCAUGAGUAGUAGUUGAUCGGUGAACUUUUGUGUUAAUUUUAUAUGUUCGGGAUAUAGUUAGGAGUGUAUGCUAGUUGUCUCAUAAUUUUCUGUGUGGCAUGUGACAUGUUAAAUUUAUUGUUUACCGAUUAUAUUUUGUUUAAAAUAAGUUUUGCAUGCUAUUUCCACUUGAGAAUUUGGUGUAUUGUGUAUAGUCCUCUUUUAUGCAUGCAUACAAUAUUUGGUGGACGCUCAACAUGCUUAUAUUUAUGUGGAAUUAUUCUAAGUUUUGCUUUAUGUAUCUAAUCAUGAAAUACUUCAUGUUUCAUUUAGUUUAGUUCAUUCACUAGCAUGAAGAUAUCUUAGGUAUAUUUUAUAUAUUGACUUCACCUUUGUUGCAUGUGUAUUUGUCAGGUUUUUUAUUAUAUCAGGCGAUACUUUAGGUGAUGUUUAUUUAAAUUAUUUGUGUUACCUAGUUUUGUUACUAGUGGUUAUGAAAAUUUGGUAUGUUAUCGACCAUAGUCAUAGUACUUGUUGUAGGUCUAUUGUUUGUGUUUAUAUUAUGUGUUAUCAUGCAUGGAGAUCAUUACUUUUAUAGAGUGUGAGGAUUGCGCUUUACAGUGUAGUGCUUCUCAUUUCUUAGAUGUUUGUUAUCCGAAAUUGCAUGGUUGGAUACUUCAUGUCAUGGUUAUAUUUGUAUUGCUUUACAUAAUUUAUUUUUGUGGCAUAGAGCAUAGCUUAUAACAUCUUAGUAAUUUUCAUGUGUGUUUAUUUAUCCUAGUUUAUUACCAUGCCAUGUUGGUAAUUGCUUAAAGUAGAAUACAUGGUUUUAUUGUAUGUCCCAAGUGUUGCAACAUUGCUAGUUUGUACUUUUUGUUCGCACAUAUGGUUAGCCUUUUCCUGUUAGACAUACAUGUUACCAGUGUAUGAUCUCCUAUGACUUAAGUUUGAUGCUUGAUCAAUACCCCGCAUGAUGAUGCGACUGCAUAACUAGAUUGUAUAGCAUGUGUGUACCCGUUCAUGUAUUAGAUCAUGCCUAGUGGUGUAUCUUAUGUUGUUGCAACUAUAGAUUGUAACAAAUAGAGGUGCAUGCCAUUUUCACUCAUGCUAGUAUAGUACAUUACUUGAUGUCAUGAUCUAGUUGUCUAACUUGCAAAUGAUUAGUAUGACAUGUCCAUGUGCUUAUAGGACAUAACUAUGUCCGUGUGUUUAUAUGAGAUAACUAGUAUGUAAGGUUGUGUGCUCUUGCCAUUCUUGAUACUCAUGUUAGCCGAUAUCAACUAAGUUAUCUCAUUUUCUGAGUUGUAUUCUAUUAGUACCAUACUUUGGCAUCUCGUGUGAUGAUCAUUCAUACUUAGUGUUAUACAUUGUAUCUAAUUAUUGCCUUGUUGGGUAUAUAGAUGUUGUUCAUGCAAGUGAUCUUUCAUGUUUUAUGAUGUUUCAUGUGUUAUAGUUGCACUUGUGUUGCUCAUAUGUGCUUGACUUGUCUCAUGUUAGUGUUAUGAGUGUUUGGCACAUGUUGCAUUAUCUCCUCACAUGAUUAGGAUAGUUUAACUUUCAAUAGUUGAGUUGUGUCUUUCUCAUAUGCUUAGUGCACAUUGUUGCUUUGUUGUUAAUCAUGUUGUCGUAAUCUUGUUGCCAUAGGUCAUUUGGAUAUUAGUUGUUUCCUUUAUUAUAAAGAAUGUCCUAGUUUAGUAUCUUCUCAUGGUCACUCAUAUAUUUAAUGCUUGUGUUAUUAGAUAAGACCUCUUCACGAUUCUAUACUCACAUGCCUUGUAUGAUGUGUCUGAUUAUUUAAUUUUCCAAUUAGUUUUGUGAUAGCAUUGGUUUGUCUUUUGUUAUAGAAAUGCUUACUAAUAGUCAUGAUUGGGGUUUAGUAUUUGCUUGUUAUUAACCAUUAUAAAUAUUUGAAUUCAUUCAAAUAUUUAUUUUUGGUUGAUUAUUAAUCUUAAUGAUAUCAUGUCUAGGAUAGUUGUUCAUCCAUUGUUCCACGUGUUGUAUAGUUUCUUGUCAAUUGUUUGAGUGAUGAAUUGGUUUGAUUUGAUGGAGUGGAUCCUAUUUUAUUUUCAUAAUGGUUGGGAUAGACUUAGAUCAAUUCAAUUAAUGUUGUUGAAUGAUGUUUGAUUGCUUCAGUAGUAUGUUUUAUAAUGUUGGUUUGGUUGUCGUAUAGAACACUUGUUUUGAGUUAUUACAGAGUUAAUGUAUAUGUUUGGAUUCUGUUGACCAUUAUGAAUAUUUAGAUUUUGCUAAAUAUUUAAUUGUGGUUAUCUUUUACAUUUAUCAUGCCAUGUUCUGUUUGUGUAAAUAAAAUACAUAGGAUGAUUCCAUUAAUUCCAUGCUUGUUGGUGCCAUUGUGUUUCUCAUAUGGUAGUUUCCUAUAUUGUUACUCAUGAUGUGUAGUGGGCACUACUAAUGGUCUGUUAGCAUAGUUCUUACUAGAACGUUAGUCUUGAUCACCAAGUCUUCCGUAGCUUUGUCAACCUAAACCUUGUCGUUUAAUCCUCUCUCUUACAUCCAAUCGUGCUACCUCAUUUCGGAGUCUCCAUCUUGAUCAAUAUCUUGCUAUCCACCCACUCUUAAAUUGUUUUGGAUGUUAUUUGGAUUUGUUAUUGCUUUGGUAUUUAUUUGUUUGUCUUUUGCUAUCAUUAUGAUGAGUAGGGAUUGACGAUGGUGUUGGACAUGGACAGAAACAGGUUACCGAAGAAGGACUCAACAACGAAGGCAUGCCUCCUCCUUGAUCAUACUUAUCCUAUGGUUUACAAAAUUGCAUUGAGUUUUAUUGUUACUAUAUGCAUGCUAUUUUAAUUCUCGUAGCUAGCGUGUCCAUUGACACAUUACCUUGAUCUGCUUGUCGCCUAUUUACUUGACACCUGUGUAGAAGUAUAUAGUUCUAGUAGAGUAGAAAUGCUUAGCCAUGCUUAUCAUCCUAUAGGUGCUUUGUGGAAUGACCUCUAGGUCAUUGACAGUUGAAACUUAACGCUGAGCUAGGCCAGUUGGCCCUUGUUGAACUCCUCUACUCUCUUCUACUCUGGGUGAAACUUACCAUCUGAAUACUGGUGCGGGCGACAGCUGAAUCAAGGAUUGAAGGAGCGAUUGGCCGCCCUUCACUUGUUGAAGGGGGCAAUCAGUCAUCCGUGCCGCAUGAGGCCUAAUAAGUCUUGGAUUUGAAGAUUGUGAUAACAGUACAACCACAUGCUAUAUGGGCACUGGCUUGGUUAAUUAGUUAGUUCACUCUUAUUGUCGUCAUCGCCGUACCGCAGAUGGGAUAGCUGCCUUGCGAGGAGUAUCCUCAGCACAAAAGGGGGGGUUGGACUAUGAACUGCGGUUACUUCCGUGUUGAAACCUAGUGGGCUUGGCACAGUAAGUUUGGUCUAAUGAAAGACCUCGUCACAAUCUCCCUGCCGGUAUACCAAGAGGUGUACUACGCCAGCGGCCACUGGUGGCAACAAGUCGAUAUUGUGUCGUGUGGGUAAAGUGUAGAACCUGUGCAGAGUGUAAAACUAUUUGAAUAGUCGUGACCACGCUCAUGGGAAACACAUGAAUCUUUCUUGACGUACGGGACCUGUCUUGCUUAUUCCCUCUUUGCCCCUAUUCUUGAAACCUAUGAAGGACGUGAGUUGAUCGAGGAUCCUCACUUGAAUAAAGAUCUUAUUCUGGAGAUAAAACAUGUUUUCAUCUAAAACCGCUAUUAUUCAACUACCUUAUUUGUCAAACAAAAUUAGCUUUAUGCAAAUGAGCCAUACAGCCUUCCUUUGAAGCCACAUGUAGCUAUUAGGUCCUUCCCCGUGGGAGGCAUGUUGAGUACGUAAUGUACUCAUGGCAAUACUUUUGUUGAACAACAGAGAUCUAUGAAGACGAGGGCGUCGACUACGAUUAUUAUGAUGAUCCUGAGGAGUGAGGACACGUUGACUACAUCGACUGCCUAUGGCUGAGAUGGAGUUGCUACGCGUUAUAUAUUCCGCUGUGUUUCUGAAUGUAAUAAAUGUCUUAAGACAUUCCAGUAUGUAUGCCUUGUGGCAAGAGUUGUUAAACUUAUACUUAUUUUAAUGUUCUGCAAUGAUACCAUUUCAGUGUGUUGUCAAGUUGAUCCUGGGGUUGACAAAUAUACACAGGAGGGUCUGGAUGUUAAUUCCGGGUUCUCAUAUUAGUCCUAAUAUGAUGGGCAUCCAAGAGGGAUAUAAUAAAAACUUUUCAUAUAAAUUGCAUUGAAUACUAUGAGAAGUUUGAUUCUAUAUGAUUGUUUUGAGAUAUAAAGAUGGUGAUAUUAGAGUCAAGCUAGUGAGUAGUUG
rnacentral:lncRNA from 1 species